CCAAGGGAUGGGAGGUGUGGCAGCCUAAUCUUAGUUUCAACUGCAGUGCCCUGUGAGUCCACCUCAGUAGACAGACAUGGCAGCAGCAGAUUGCCAGGCGGACCUACAGCUAUGAUUGAAGCAGUCCACCCCUCUUGAACCCAGGUCUCCUCUGUAAUGCACACUAGGUCAUGUGCUGACAAAGCCGUCCGAAUACAGAUUGAUGGGCACACAGAGCUCGGCUUUCAUUGGGCCAUUGUCCUCAGAACAAACAAUACUCCCUCCAUGUUGGUAAAAUAAGUCGUUUUGGAUAAGGUUUGGGUCAAAUAUUGAGAAUAUAAAUUAUGAAUAAUUUUUAAGUUGUUGAGCUUAAAAAUAUGAAAACCGCAUGAAUAGAUUUGUCUUCAAAUAUACUUUUAUAAAAGUAUACACACAUCACUUUUAAAUAAAUUUUUUUAUAGAAAAAUAAAGUCAAAGUUAUAUUUUGGAGACCCUGUCAUUGUCAAAAACGACUUCUUUUACCAACUUGGAGGGAGUAUGUGACCAAAUCUUAGUUCUUGCUGAAUCUCACCUACCUGACUGGUGGUUACUCCAAGACGGUUCCCCAGAUCUGGUGACCAAGCGCUAAAUAUAAACUUUUCAAUCUCUCAAACAUAGUCAUAUUUUUCUGCUCCUUCACACAUAGAUACUGUAGUUACCAUUUUAUUAUGUCUACAAAUAUUUUUAAUUAUGCCUAGGAUUUUGAGUUGCUUAGUAAAAUUUAGUCAUAUAUAUGGAACUCAAAAUACAAGUAAUAAUUUAAACAAUCUGGAGUUUGAGCGUUGCGAACACUGUAGAAACAAAAAAAUAAUACCUAUAGUGCUUGCUUGACUAAUUACUUUUGCACUAAAUGCAACUACAUAAGUUGUCGUCCAUUAAUAUCGUUGCACCAAUUUACAUCAAGUUAGAACUGCACUAAAUUAUUCAUGUUGUUAUUAAUCCCAUAUUUUUUUUUGUAAACACCUUGAAACUGAUUACUUUCCUUCACAUGGUCAUAUGAUUGCCUAGGUAUUUAAAUUUUAAUCAAUGGCAGCACGAACAGGUUUGUACCAAGCCAAAUGGUAAAUAUGCCUCAUACUACACUUAUGUAUAUUCAAGUAAGUGCCUCUGAACAUGUGAAAAUAUUCAAGUAAGUGCCUCUGAGCUUAGGAGGUUUUCUUUGUAUAUUAGCUCUUAACCAUAUUUCUUUCCCUCUAAUGUUUACUUAAAGGUUCAGUACUUGCUAAAAUUCGUGAAGAUAGUAACCCUUGCUUGAUCAUUUGAAUUUUUUAGUUUAUGUGGUUUCUACAUAAUCUGCCCGCAGAGAGGUAUUUCAACACAUUGAAAAGCAGACAACUUCCAUGUCCUUAUCCAGAUCUCUUCACAACUUUUUAGCUGCAACUCAACAACACCCCCUUUGCUCUCUGGACUUAAAGAUGAUAAGAACGACCCAGGUACAUGACCGCAUCAUCCACAGAGUCAUCGAUUAGCAUCUCAGACGAUGAUGAACAAGGAUGGGAGUUUGAUCGCAGCAUGAACCUUGGCUGAUCUUACCGGCUCUAUCAUAGCCCAACAAAUUCUAUAGUCCACAGACUUAGUGACUUCAGUAAUAUUUAGGCCUACCACUAUUGGGUACUUCUGUGCACUACAUUUUGCAGAAACUAGCCUCCACAUCCUUGCUACAUAGCACUCUGCAGUGCUUUUGUAUGACCACCAAGACUUCGUGUAUGAUAGACCUAAUAUCUAUAAUUGUUGCAUGAAUUACUCUAUAUGUAUUCAAAAAAAAAAAACUCUACAUACAUAGCUUU